rnacentral:rRNA from 1 species
UACGUAGGGUGCAAGCGUUGUCCGGAAUUAUCGGGCGUAAAGAGCUCGUAGGUGGCCUGUCGCGUCGGCUGUGAAAACUCGGGGCUCAACUCCGAGCUUGCAGUCGAUACGGGCAGGCUAGAGUUCGGCAGGGGAGACUGGAAUUCCUGGUGUAGCGGUGAAAUGCGCAGAUAUCAGGAGGAACACCGGUGGCGAAGGCGGGUCUCUGGGCCGAUACUGACACUGAGGAGCGAAAGCGUGGGGAGCGAACAGG